rnacentral:rRNA from 1 species
UGGGAACGUACCCUUUGGUUCGGAACAACCCAGGGAAACUUGGGCUAAUACCGGAUAAGUCCGUAAGGAGAAAGAUUUAUCGCCAAAGGAUCGGCCCGCGUCUGAUUAGCUAGUUGGUAGGGUAAUGGCCUACCAAGGCUACGAUCAGUAGCUGGUCUGAGAGGAUGAUCAGCCACAUUGGGACUGGGACACGGCCCAAACUCCUACGGGAGGCAG